UACGUAGGGUGCAAGCGUUUGUCCGGAAUUAUUGGGCGUAAAGAGCUCGUAGGCGGUUUGUCGCGUCUGCUGUGAAAACGCGAGGCUCAACCUCGCGCCUGCAGUGGGUACGGGCAGACUAGAGUGCGGUAGGGGAGAUUGGAAUUCCUGGUGUAGCGGUGGAAUGCGCAGAUAUCAGGAGGAACACCGAUGGCGAAGGCAGAUCUCUGGGCCGUAACUGACGCUGAGGAGCGAAAGCGUGGGGAGCAAACAGG
rnacentral:rRNA from 1 species